rnacentral:rRNA from 1 species
CCUACGGGGGGCAGCAGUGGGGAAUAUUGGACAAUGGGCGAAAGCCUGAUCCAGCCAUGCCGCGUGUGUGAAGAAGGCCUUCGGGUUGUAAAGCACUUUCAGUGGGGAAGAAAGCCUUGGGGCUAAUACCCUCGAGGAAGGACAUCACCCACAGAAGAAGCACCGGCUAACUCCGUGCCAGCAGCCGCGGUAAUACGGAGGGUGCGAGCGUUAAUCGGAAUUACUGGGCGUAAAGCGCGCGUAGGCGGUCUGAUAAGCCGGUGUGAAAGCCCCGGGCUCAACCUGGGAACGGCAUCCGGAACUGUCAGGCUAGAGUGCAGGAGAGGAAGGUAGAAUUCCCGGUGUAGCGGUGAAAUGCGUAGAGAUCGGGAGGAAUACCAGUGGCGAAGGCGGCCUUCUGGACUGACACUGACGCUGAGGUGCGAAAGCGUGGGUAGCAAACAGGAUUAGAUACCCCUGUAGUC